rnacentral:misc_RNA from 1 species
UCUCCGUAGGUGAACCUGCGGAGGGAUCAUUACUGAGUGAGGGCCUUCGGGCUCGACCUCCAACCCCAUGUGAACUGAAACCUGUUGCUUCGGGGGCGACCCUGCCUUUCGGCGCGGCGCCCCCGGAGGCUCAUUAAACACUGCAUCUUUGCGUCGGAGUUUAAACAAAUUAAACAAAACUUUCAACAACGGAUCUCUUGGUUCUGGCAUCGAUGAAGAACGCAGC